rnacentral:rRNA from 1 species
GGACGAACGCUGGCGGCGUGCUUAACACAUGCAAGUCGAACGGUGAACCCCAGCUUGCUGGGGGGAUCAGUGGCGAACGGGUGAGUAACACGUGAGUAACCUGCCCCUGACUCUGGGAUAAGCCUUGGAAACGAGGUCUAAUACCGGAUACGAGACGCUCGGGCAUCUGAGCGUCUGGAAAGAUUUAUCGGUCAGGGAUGGACUCGCGGCCUAUCAGCUUGUUGGUGGGGUAACGGCCCACCAAGGCGACGACGGGUAGCCGGCCUGAGAGGGCGACCGGCCACACUGGGACUGAGACACGGCCCAGACUCCUACGGGAGGCAGCAGUGGGGAAUAUUGCACAAUGGGCGCAAGCCUGAUGCAGCGACGCCGCGUGAGGGAUGAAGGCCUUCGGGUUGUAAACCUCUUUCAGCAGGGAAGAAGCGCAAGUGACGGUACCUGCAGAAGAAGCGCCGGCUAACUACGU